CAGCAGGCUCCUCCUGCUCCUGGCACUGCGGCCCUCCAGGUGGUCCCAGUGCCCCACAUCUCACCCAGCGCCCAUUUGGGCAUUUCCCCACAGAGAGAAUCUCUUCAUUGAUGCCGACGGUGCUUCCGACACCCGACGCCACUGUAUUUGGUUCCUUUGUGCCCCCUCUGUCCGCUGCUGCAAUGCAGCCGCAGGUGCUCCCCGUGCCCUGCACCCUGCCCGCCAGCUGGGAGCGGGCGGUGGGGCCCCUUGGAGAUGCCGUGGUGCUCACGGAGGACCAGGGGCACCCAGCGCCCACCGACGGGUGCCCCCAUCCCGCCACGGCUCCGCUGGGCUGCAGCACCGCAGCGCUGGACUCAGGGGGUGAGUUUGGGGGCUGCGGGGCGUGCGGCAGGCUGUCCGCACCGGGUGGCUGUGGGAAAGCUGGCAUUGCCCCACUGGGGAUGUCCUUGCUUUUCCAGCAGCCACAGCGAGCGCAGACAUCCCAGAGGACGUGGUUGACAGCGACAUGGGCGAUCUGCUCACGUGGAUCAGUGACAUGACCUCCAAUACAGACAUCCCGGUCGACAGCGUGGAGAUCGAUGAUAUUCUGUCGUGGAUCAGCAACGAUGGGACACCCAGCUCAGGCAAUCCUGAUGACAGCAUGGAACUCGACGGUUUGCUCAGCUGGAUCGUUGAAGCGUCGAGUCCUCGGGAGGUCCCCCAGCAGGCGUUCCCAGCCGUCCCCAGCAGGCUCAGCACCUCUCCUUUCAUCAGAGCCCUCCGUGACCGUCCCAGCGGCAGCAGGGAGCUCAGCGGAGAGGCGCAGGCUGACGCCGGGCCCCUCAGCGAGCCGUUCUCGGGGCAGCCAGCAUCCUCUGGGCAGCUCUCUGAGCCGCUGCCCUGCGGGCAUCUGAUGGAAGAGGCGCGGCAGAGGCAGC
ensembl:lncRNA